AAGUAAUUAUUAUAAAAGUAAAUCUGUUGUGGAAAGAGGCCUGGAAUUUGAUAUCAUGGAAAUUGAAAUAAUUUUCCAUUGCUUGUGGCCGCAAUAUACCCUGUUCAAAUAAUCUGGAACACUCGUUCAGUAUAUCUACGAUGUACGUGUGGUACAAUGGUGUUGCUAAUUGCUAAGUUAAAAACCAUAUUACUGAAUUUGGACUAGUUACUGGCAGACAGGCACGCUCACUUGUUUAUAGUUUCUUUGUUUUUCUCUAUUUUCUUAUCUGUGAAAUGGUAAUGGCUUUCAAGCCUUUCCCAAAUUUUAGUCCUUUGGUCAUGAAUGUUAAUGAAUGAUAUUUUUACUUUCUAUUGAAGGUUGAUUCUUCUUACGGAACAGUCGAUGAAGAAAAAUUGCUUGACUCCCUUUUGGCAACAGUUACUACUGCGGAUGAGUCUUCUACAUUUGCAUUCUUGAAUUCAAAUAGUGAAAAUGAUCAGUGUAAGAAGUUGCUGACAACCUGGAACUGUUUGAAGCCAUCAACACAGAGAGUUUUGGGUCUUGUUGCUGAAGUCAAAUCUCUAGAAAAUGAUAAAGAAAAUCUAAGGGUUAAUCUUCACAGAGCUGAAGAUGAGGUCAAAUUAUUGUUUGAGGAAAAUAGCGUGUUGCAUUACGAGAAUAAAAGAUUGGCCAAGCGAUGCAUGGAAAGGAGCCAUAGCGGUUCUGAUAGUAAACAUGGCCAUAGCCAUACCCAUACCCAUACCGGCAGCGCAUCUGUGAAGUCAAACAAGAGAAAGUCUAGUCGCAAGACGAGUAGCCCAAUGGGGAGAAAGAUUGAUUUUGAAGAUUUAGUAGACUCAGCAAGAACACCCUUGUCACCUUUGGGAAAUAAACUCCCAGAAUUUGCAGCAUGAAUAAAAAAUCAAAGUGACUACUAAUGUCUCAUUAACAGACAGGCCUGACAGUUUCUUCAAUUCAAAGUUCUGAUGAUAGGGGUUUUGGUUAGUCGAUGCCAUAUUCUUAAUGGUUGAACUGAUGAUAUGUAACUUUCUGAAUACUAGCUAAUUGUUAAAAUGUAUUUGCUAUUCAAUAUUCAAUUUUAUUGGCAUUUAUGACUGAGAAAAAGUAU